rnacentral:rRNA from 1 species
GACGUAGGAUGCGAGCGUUGUCCGGAUUUAUUGGGCGUAAAGAGUUCGUAGGUGGUUCAUUAAGUCUGGUGUAAAAGACUGGGGCUCAACCCUGGGAUGGCACUGGAUACUGGUGGACUGGAGUGAAGUAGAGGCAAGCGGAAUUCCCAGUGUAGCGGUGAAAUGCGUAGAUAUUGGGAAGAACACCGGUGGCGUAAGCGGCUUGCUGGGCUUUAACUGACGCUGAGGAACGAAAGCUAGGGGAGCGAAUGGG